CAGCAGCCCGAGUGGUGGUCGUUUUUAUUGGGCCUAAAGCGUCCGUAGCCGGUCUAGUAAAUCCUUGGAUAAAUCGUACAGCUUAACUGUACGGCUCCCGGGGAGACUGCUAGACUUGGGACUGGGAGAGGUCGGAGGUACUCCAGGGGUAGGGGUGAAAUCUUGUAAUCCUUGGGGGACCACCAGUGGCGAAGGCGUCCGACUAGAACGGAUCCGACGGUGAGGGACGAAGCCGUGGGGCACAAACCGGAUUAGAUACCCGAGUAGUCC
rnacentral:rRNA from 1 species